UACGUAGGCUCCAAGCGUUGUUCGGAAUUACUGGGCGUAAAGCGAGUGUAGGCGGUCCGUCAAGUUGGUUGUGAAAUCUCCUGGCUCAACUGGGAGGGUGCGACCAAAACUGACGGACUAGAGUCUGGGAGAGGAGAGUGGAAUUCCUGGUGUAGCGGUGAAAUGCGUAGAUAUCAGGAGGAACACCGGUGGUGAAGACGGCUCUCUGGACCGGUACUGACGCUGAGACUCGAAAGCGUGGGGAGCAAACAGG
rnacentral:ncRNA from 3 species